GAUGAACGCUGGCGGCGUGCCUAAUACAUGCAAGUCGAGCGAACAGACGAGGAGCUUGCUCCUCUGACGUUAGCGGCGGAAGGGUGAGUAACACGUGGAUAACCUACCUAUAAGACUGGGAUAACUUCGGGAAACCGGAGCUAAUACCGGAUAAUAUAUUGAACCGCAUGGUUCAAUAGUGAAAGACGGUUUUGCUGUCACUUAUAGAUGGAUCCGCGCCGCAUUAGCUAGUUGGUAAGGUAACGGCUUACCAAGGCAACGAUGCGUAGCCGACCUGAGAGGGUGAUCCGCCACACUGGAACGGAGACACGGUCCAGACUCCUACGGGAGGCAGCAGUAGGGAAUCUUCCGCAAUGGGCGAAAGCCUGACGGAGCAACGCCGCGUGAGUGAUGAAGGUCUUCGGAUCGUAAAACUCUGUUAUUAGGGAAGAACAAAUGUGUAAGUAACUAUGCACGUCUUGACGGUACCUAAUCAGAAAGCCACGGCUAACUACGUG
rnacentral:rRNA from 1 species